rnacentral:lncRNA from 1 species
GUGUAUAAUUGAUGUGUGGUUGAUUGUUAUGAUAUAAUUUAUGCUAAAAAUUUUGCCAUGAUUAUGAAAAAAAGAGAAAAAUUAAUUCAUGUGGUAGUAAACUAUGUGCCCACCAUGUGUUUGUGAAAAAAUGCUUAAAAGAGAUGGAAAAAAAAAUAAAAGAAAUGGGUGGAUGGAAAAGGUGUAAUUUGGUUGUUGG